GCAAGUCGAACGAACUUCCGUUAAUUGAUCAUGACGUGCUUGCACUGAAUGAGAUUUUAAUAUGAAGUGAGUGGCGGACGGGUGAGUAACACGUGGGUAACCUGCCCAGAAGCAGGGGAUAACACCUGGAAACAGAUGCUAAUACCGUAUAACAGAGAAAACCGCCUGGUUUUCUUUUAAAAGAUGGCUCUGCUAUCACUUCUGGAUGGACCCGCGGCGCAUUAGCUAGUUGGUGAGGUAACGGCUCACCAAGGCGAUGAUGCGUAGCCGACCUGAGAGGGUAAUCGGCCACAUUGGGACUGAGACACGGCCCAGACUCCUACGGGAGGCAGCAGUAGGGAAUCUUCCACAAUGGACGCAAGUCUGAUGGAGCAACGCCGCGUGAGUGAAGAAGGGUUUCGGCUCGUAAAGCUCUGUUGUUAAAGAAGAACGUGGGUGAGAGUAACUGUUCACCCAGUGACGGUAUUUAACCAGAAAGCCACGGCUAACUACGUGCCAGCAGCCGCGGUAAUACGUAGGUGGCAAGCGUUAUCCGGAUUUAUUGGGCGUAAAGCGAGCGCAGGCGGUCUUUUAAGUCUAAUGUGAAAGCCUUCGGCUCAACCGAAGAAGUGCAUUGGAAACUGGGAGACUUGAGUGCAGAAGAGGACAGUGGAACUCCAUGUGUAGCGGUGAAAUGCGUAGAUAUAUGGAAGAACACCAGUGGCGAAGGCGGCUGUCUGGUCUGUAACUGACGCUGAGGCUCGAAAGCAUGGGUAGCGAACAGGAUUAGAUACCCUGGUAGUCCAUGCCGUAAACGAUGAUUACUAAGUGUUGGAGGGUUUCCGCCCUUCAGUGCUGCAGCUAACGCAUUAAGUAAUCCGCCUGGGGAGUACGACCGCAAGGUUGAAACUCAAAAGAAUUGACGGGGGCCCGCACAAGCGGUGGAGCAUGUGGUUUAAUUCGAAGCUACGCGAAGAACCUUACCAGGUCUUGACAUCUUCUGCCAACCUAAGAGAUUAGGCGUUCCCUUCGGGGACAGAAUGACAGGUGGUGCAUGGUUGUCGUCAGCUCGUGUCGUGAGAUGUUGGGUUAAGUCCCGCAACGAGCGCAACCCUUAUUACUAGUUGCCAGCAUUCAGUUGGGCACUCUAGUGAGACUGCCGGUGACAAACCGGAGGAAGGUGGGGACGACGUCAAAUCAUCAUGCCCCUUAUGACCUGGGCUACACACGUGCUACAAUGGAUGGUACAACGAGUCGCGAAACCGCGAGGUUUAGCUAAUCUCUUAAAACCAUUCUCAGUUCGGACUGUAGGCUGCAACUCGCCUACACGAAGUCGGAAUCGCUAGUAAUCGCGGAUCAGCAUGCCGCGGUGAAUACGUUCCCGGGCCUUGUACACACCGCCCGUCACACCAUGAGAGUUUGUAACACCCAAAGCCGGUGGGGUAACC
rnacentral:rRNA from 1 species